rnacentral:rRNA from 1 species
UUCCGGUUGAUCCUGCCGGAGGUCACUGCUAUUGGGGUUCGACUAAGCCAUGCGAGUCUAUGGACUUCGGUCCAUGGCGGACGGCUCAGUAACACGUGGCUAACCUACCCUCGGGUGGGGGAUAACCUCGGGAAACUGAGGAUAAUACCCCAUAGGAGAAGAGGUCUGGAAUGAUCCUUCUCUGAAAACAUAUGUGCCCGAGGAUGGGGCUGCGUCUGAUUAGGUAGUUGGUGGGGUAACGGCCCACCAAGCCUACGAUCAGUACGGGCCUUGAGAGAGGCAGCCCGGAGAUGGGGACUGAGACACGGCCCCAGGCCCUACGGGGCGCAGCAGGCGCGAAACCUCCGCAAUGCACGAAAGUGCGACGGGGGGACCCCAAGUGCUUACGCACUGCGUAGGCUUUUCUAAAGUGUAAAAAGCUUUAGGAAUAAGGGCUGGGCAAGUCCGGUGCCAGCAGCCGCGGUAACACCGGCGGCCCGAGUGGUGACCACUUUUAUUGGGCCUAAAGCGUCCGUAGCCGGUCCAGUAAGUCCCUGUUUAAAUCCUACGGCUUAACCGUAGGGCUGGCAGGGAUACUGCUGGACUUGGGACCGGGAGAGGGCGAGGGUACUUCUGGGGUAGCGGUGAAAUGUGUUGAUCCCUGGAGGACCACCUAUGGCGAAGGCACUCGCCUGGAACGGGUCCGACGGUGAGGGACGAAAGCCAGGGGCGCGAACCGGAUUAGAUACCCGGGUAGUCCUGGGCGUAAACUCUGCGGACUAGGUGUUAGGUAGGCCCCGUGCCUAUCUAGUGCCGAAGGGAGCCGNUAAGUCCGCCGCCUGGGGAGUACGGUCGCAAGACUGAAACUUAAAGGAAU